CCUACGUGCGGCAGCAGUGGGGAAUAUUGCACGAUGGGCGAAAGCCUGAUGCAGCAACGCCGCGUGAAGGAAGAAGGGUUUCGGCUCGUAAACUUCUAUCAACAGGGAAGAAAGAAACGACGGUACCUGAAUAAGACGCCCCGGCUAACUACGUACCAGCAGCCGCGGUAAUAAGUAGGGGGCAAGCGUUUUCCGGAAUUACUGGGUGUAAAGGGUGAGUAGGCGGCAUGGUAAGCCAGAUGUGAAAGCCUUGGGCUUAACCCGAGGAUUGCAUUUGGAACUAUCAAGCUAGAGUACAGGAGAGAAAAGCCGAAUUCCUAGUGUAGCGGUGAAAUGCGUAGAUAUUAGGAAGAAAACCAGUGGCGAAGGCGGCUUUCUGGACUGAAACUGACGCUGAGGCACGAAAGCGUGGGGAGCGAACAGGAUUAGAUACCCUUGUAGUC
rnacentral:rRNA from 1 species